rnacentral:rRNA from 1 species
AUUGAACGCUGGCGGCAGGCCUAACACAUGCAAGUCGAGCGGAUGAAGGGAGCUUGCUCCUGGAUUCAGCGGCGGACGGGUGAGUAAUGCCUAGGAAUCUGCCUGGUAGUGGGGGAUAACGUCCGGAAACGGGCGCUAAUACCGCAUACGUCCUGAGGGAGAAAGUGGGGGAUCUUCGGACCUCACGCUAUCAGAUGAGCCUAGGUCGGAUUAGCUAGUUGGUGGGGUAAACGCCUACCAAGGCGCCGAUCCGUAACUGGGCUGUGAGGAUGAUCAGUCACACUUGAACGGUGACAGGGUCCUGAAUCCUACGCGAGACAAGUAUGGUGAACAUUAGAAGAAAGGCGAUAAGCAGGUGCAGUCAAGCCGCGUGGGUGAAGAAAGUAUUCGGAUUGUUAAACGCUUUAAGUUGGGGGGAAGGACAAUAAGUUUGUACCUUGCUGAUGUGACGGUACCGACAGAAUAAGUUCCGGCUAACUUCGUG